rnacentral:rRNA from 1 species
UACGAAGGGGGCUAGCGUUGUUCGGAAUUACUGGGCGUAAAGCGCACGUAGGCGGAUUGUUAAGUCAGGGGUGAAAUCCUGGAGCUCAACUCCAGAACUGCCUUUGAUACUGGCGAUCUUGAGUCCGGGAGAGGUGAGUGGAACUGCGAGUGUAGAGGUGAAAUUCGUAGAUAUCGGGAGGAACACCGGUGGCGAAGGCGGCGACCUGGGUAGAUACUGACGCUGAGGCGCGAAAGCGUGGGGAGCAAACAGG